UACCCGCAGUCCGAGUGGCAGGUCGAGUUUAUUGGGCCUAAAGCGUCCGUAGCCGGUCUGGCAAAUGCCUGGGUAAAUCGUCUGGCUCAACCAGACGAAUUCCGGGUAGACUGCCAGACUUGGGACCGGUUGAGGGAGAGGGUACUCCAGGGGUAGGAGUGAAAUCCUGUAAUCCUUGGAGGACCACCAGUGGCGAAAGCGCUCUUCCAGGACGGGUUCGACGGUGAGGGACGAAAGCCAGGGGAGCGAACCGGAUUAGAUACCCGGGUAGUCCUGGCCGUAAACGAUGCGGGCUUGGCAUUGGGGAUCCUACGAGGUGUCCAGUGCCGAAGCGAAGGCGUUAAGCCCGCCGCCUGGGAAGUAUGGUCGCAAGGCUGAAACUUAAAGGAAUUGGCGGGGAGCGACCGCAAUGGGAGGAGUGUGCGGUUU
rnacentral:rRNA from 1 species